ensembl:lncRNA
UGAGAAAGACAUAAAAUUUAAAUGCAAAUAUUUGCUAAAAGUGAAUUUAAGAAGUAUGUUAGCAUACACUACUGUUCAAAAGUUUUGGGUUGGUAAGAAUUUGUAAUGUUUUUGAAGUUUUUGAAAGUCUCUUUUGGCCACCAAGGUUUUUUUUUUUUUUUUUUUUUUUUUUUUUUUUUUUUCAGUCAUUCUAAUGUUCUGAUUUGCUGUUCAUCAAAGUUGAAAACAUUUGUGCUGAUUAAUGUUUUUGUGGAAAACACAAUUUCCUUUUUUCAGAUAUAGAAAGUUCAAAAGAGCAGCAUUUAUUUGUAAUAGAAAUCUUUUAGAUUUUUUUUUCCUUUUUUUCCUUUUGAUCAAUAUAAUGUGUAACUUCUGAAUAAAAGUAAAAAAAAAAUAAUAAAAUCUAACUGAUUACAAACUUUUGAACUUAUGAAUGUUUUGAAUGGUAAUGUAUAGAAUAGGCAAGUGCUUCUCAAUUCCCGUCCUGGUGACCACCGCUCUGCAUGUUUUUCAUGUCUCUCUGAUUUAACACACCUGAUUCAGACAACCAGCUCGUUAGAAGAGAGCUCAAUGAAUGAACUGUGUUCCGACUGACAUGGUCCCUAAACAGUGUCUAUUGCUCCCUACUCCCUGUACACAGCAAAUUCAUUCACCGAUUUGCGCUACAGCACUGUCUGCAGUGCCUUCACACACAGACGAAACUUACUAGAGAAGUGAGAAGUGUGACAUAAUUCCUCUAAAUAAUUACAAUUUAAAUUAAUGUCUUGCACACUUUAAUGCCCUUUGAAGGAAACAUACACGCUCCCUUUGAACUGGAAUCAUGGUGGAAUAUCAUGGUGUGAAGUCCACUUCUCAGGGCACUAAACGUGUGAAGUGAUAAGAGAUGCAUACAAAAUGUGCAGAGCGGUGGUACGCGAGGACUGGAAUCGAGAACCACUGCUGUAGGUGAAUUCAAACUUAACACACAUGGACUAAAGAGCACAAAACUUGAAUUUCAUGGGGUCUUUAAAUGUGUUGAACUGUUUUUGUGUGUUUCAAUCCUCUCAUUCAUUCCAGUAUGUGCUCCAUGUCUAUUCUGAUCACAUCCUCAUGAAUAGUUUGCUUUCAGCUGUGACUUGCAGAUGUCUGCAUCACAUGGGUUUGUGUGAUAUAGAACAGAGCAUCAGUCUCUUGUCAAGAGAGACACGAGCUAAGUCCUUCCAUGCAGUCGUGGCUAAGAUAAAAUGGAUGACAGGAAUGACGGUGUGCGGGUUGGAGAGAAUAAAUUCAUCAGCAAGUGAGUAUAAAUCUUACACCAAACUCAUGAGUGUUAAAAUCAUCCCAUGAUCUGAACAACAGAAAUGUUUGCUUUUUAUUGCCCUGUUACCUCUGACAGUUCUGUAAUAAUCUGUUCACAAUGCACAGUAAGCAAUAAUGUACAGUCAGAUGGUUAUUAC